rnacentral:tRNA from 1 species
UCCCUGUGGUUGAGUGACUAAGACUCUGCGCUUCCAAUGCAGGAAGCCUGGGUUCGAUCCCUGGUCAGGGAA